rnacentral:tRNA from 1 species
GAGUUUGUUGAGAAAAAACGAGAACUGCUAAUUACUCGUCACCCUGGUUCAACUCCACGGCUAACUCA